AUAGAGCUAUCCACUUGGAUAGACCUUAUCAGUUGAUUAGAGCUUCCAAUCCGUAAGUCUGAAGCAAUGGAUUCAUGCUCAAUGGGUUGAAUGGAUGGCCAGAAGCACCCUGUUUUUCCAGGACACCAGACACAUCAUCAUCACUAGUAAGCAGAAUGCCAGUUUUGGUCUUCUCUCAGAUUCGAACAUUCUCUUCUUCACUUCCUCUUCUUACUCUCUUCAUUGAACUGAGCUGUUCCCAACAGAACUCAUGUUAAACAGUUUCAGCAGCUGCUCCACACCAGGCAGCCAGACGUUCACUUUAAAUGACUGUCCUCUGCUCCUCAGAGCACUCUGUGCAGCCUUUUCUCCUGGACUGUG